rnacentral:snoRNA from 1 species
AUUCCUUGAUGAGGACAGGCGGCCACGUACUCCUGUAGUCAUUCCCACGCCUCGGGAAUAGACUUGUCUCUCGUCUGCUGGAAACUUGAAAUUUUGCCGCGUAGGGC